rnacentral:rRNA from 1 species
GCGUAACAGCUCACUAGUCGAGCGAUCGUGCAUGGAUAAUAAACGGGCAUUAAGUAGUACACCGAAGCUAUGGGUAAUAUUUAUAUUACGGUAGGGGAGCAUUCCAGCGGCAGCGAAGUUAUGACGUAAGUUGUGGUGGAGCUUCUGGAAAAGCAAAUGUAGGCAUAAGUAACGAUAAGGCAGGCGAGAAACCUGCCCACCGAAAGGAUAAGGUUUCCUGAUCAACGCUAAUCGGAUCAGGGUUAGUCGGGACCUAAGGAGAACCCGAAGGGGAAAUUCGAUGGACAACUGGUUAAUAUUCCAGUACUUUUUAUAACUGCGAUGUGGGGACGGAGUAGUGACACUGCCGCGAUCUGACGGAAUAGAUCGUUAAAGACUGUAGGU